AGUGAACGCUGGCGGUAGGCCUAACACAUGCAAGUCAAACGGCAGCACAGGAGAGCUUGCUCUCUGGGUGGCGAGUGGCGGACGGGUGAGGAAUACAUCGGAAUCUACUCUGUCGUGGGGGAUAACGUAGGGAAACUUACGCUAAUACCGCAUACGACCUACGGGUGAAAGCAGGGGACCUUCGGGCCUUGCGCGAUUGAAUGAGCCGAUGUCGGAUUAGCUAGUGGGCGGGGUAAAGGCCCACCAAGGCGACGAUCCGUAGCUGGUCUGAGAGGAUGAUCAGCAAAGCUGGAACUGAGACACGGGCCAGACUCCUACGGGAGGCAGCAGUGGGGAAUAUUGGACAAUGGGCGCAAGCCUGAUCCAGCCAUACCGCGUGGGUGAAGAAGGCCUUCGGGUUGUAAAGCCCUUUUGUUGGGAAAGAAAUCCAGCUGGCUAAUACCCGGUUGGGAUGACGGUACCCAAAGAAUAAGCACCGGCUAACUUCGUGCCAGCCGCCGCGGUAA
rnacentral:rRNA from 1 species